rnacentral:rRNA from 1 species
UGGGGAAUAUUGGACAAUGGGCGAAAGCCUGAUCCAGCAAUACCGCGUGUGUGAAGAAGGCCUGAGGGUUGUAAAGCACUUUUAAUCGGGAGGAACACCUGUCAGCUAAUACCUGGCAGUAUGACAUUACCGAUAGAAAAAGCACCGGCUAACUCCGUG